rnacentral:rRNA from 1 species
UACGUAGGGGGCGAGCGUUGUCCGGAAUCAUUGGGCGUAAAGCGCGUGUAGGCGGCCCGGUAAGUCCGCUGUGAAAGCCCGGGGCUCAACCCCGGGAGGCGGGUGGAUACUGUCAAGCUCGAGUCCGGAAGAGGAGUGUGGAAUUCCUGGUGUAGCGGUGAAAUGCGCAGAUAUCAGGAGGAACACCAAUGGCGAAGGCAGCACUCUGGGACGUGACUGACGCUGAGACGCGAAAGCGUGGGGAGCAAACAGG